rnacentral:rRNA from 1 species
UACGGAGGGGGCUAGCGUUGUUCGGAAUUACUGGGCGUAAAGCGUGCGCAGGCGGCUGCUCAAGUCAGGGGUGAAAGCCCAGAGCUCAACUCUGGAAUUGCCUUUGAGACUGAGUGGCUUGAGUACGGGAGAGGUGAGUGGAAUUCCCAGUGUAGAGGUGAAAUUCGUAGAUAUUGGGAAGAACACCGGUGGCGAAAGGCGGCGUCACU